UGCUUUGCUAAGCAAGGUCAUGAUCCUUA
rnacentral:piRNA from 1 species